UACGGAGGGUGCAAGCGUUGUCCGGAUUUAUUGGGUUUAAAGGGUGCGUAGGCGGCUGUUUAAGUCAGUGGUGAAAGACUCCGGCUCAACCGGGGCAGUGCCAUUGAUACUGGACAGCUUGAGUGUUGGAGGGGUACAUGGAAUUGAUGGUGUAGCGGUGAAAUGCAUAGAUACCAUCAGGAACACCGAUAGCGAAGGCAUUGUACUGGCCAACAACUGACGCUGAUGCACGAAAGCAUGGGUAGCGAACAGG
rnacentral:rRNA from 1 species